rnacentral:tRNA from 1 species
UGGAGGGCUGUCUGAGUGGCCGAAAGAGACGGUCUUGAAAACCGUUGUGUCAGCAAUGGCACCGGGGGUUCGAAUCCCUCGCCCUCCGCCCA